AGAGGUUUAGGCUAAACGUAGACCAAGGACCUUCAAAGUCCUAAGUAAGUAAGAAAAUUACUUAAUCUCUGG
rnacentral:tRNA from 1 species